GGCUCCCCAUUCGACCCG
rnacentral:snRNA from 1 species